UACGUAGGGGGCUAGCGUUGUCCGGAUUUAUUGGGCGUAAAGAGCGUGUAGGCGGCCAUACAGGUCAGCUGUGAAAACUCGAGGCUCAACCUCGAGACGUCGGUUGAAACCGUAUGGCUAGAGUCCGGAAGAGGAGAGUGGAAUUCCCGGUGUAGCGGUGAAAUGCGCAGAUAUCGGGAAGAACACCCGUGGCUAAGGCGGCUCUCUAGUACGGUACUGACGCUGAGACGCGAAAGCGUGGGGAGCGAACAGG
rnacentral:rRNA from 1 species